rnacentral:lncRNA from 1 species
CGCCUGAAUUGAAAAACAGGGGGGAGAGAUUCCAGGUGCGUCGCGUCGCGUUGCGUGACUAGUGCUGCUAAUCCAAUCGCUUGUUUUAUUUUACUUCUUUUUUGUUUUGAGGAACGCUCUUUGUCUCGUUGACAUUGCCUGGUUGCAGCAUCAAAACUCGUUGUUAAUAAUCGCUUCGUGAGGAUACGAAUCCCCCGGUUGGAACCGGAGGAAGCAGUAAAGAAAUAUGGCUGGGGAUCAGAUCAUCCCUUGCGAUCCGUUUAACGAUCUGCUUGCGAGAAUAAUAACGCGACAUGCAGUGCCUGCUGGGGCAGCUGGCGUUGCCUCUGACAGUGCCGAGGAGGUGGCUGGGAGGCGGGAGAAACUGCGGAGCUAGUGCUG